AGGGCAAGUCUGGUGCCAGCAGCCGCGGUAAUUCCAGCUCUAAUAGCGUAUAUUAAAGUUGUUGCAGUUAAAAAGCUCGUAGUUGAAUUUCGAGAUCAAUUUGUCGGUCGUGCCUCGGUAUGUACUGGCAUUACUGAUUUCUCCCUUCUGAAGAACCGCGAUGUCAUUAAUUUGGUGUCGUGGGGAAUCAGGACUGUUACUUUGAAAAAAUUAGAGUGUUUAAAGCAGGCGCACGCUUGAAUACAUUAGCAUGGAAUAAUGAAAUAGGACGUUUGAUUCUAUUUUGUUGGUUUCUAGGAUCGACGUAAUGAUUAAUAGGGAUAGUUAGGGGCAUUAGUAUUCAAUUGUCAGAGGUGAAAUUCUUGGAUUUAUUGAAGACUAACUACUGCGAAAGCAUUUGCCAAGGAUGUUUUCAUUAAUCAAGAACGAAAAUUAGGGGAUCGAAGACGAUCAGAUACCGUCGUAGUCUUAACCAUAAACUAUGCCGACUAGGGAUCGGAUGAUGUUAAUUUUUUAAUGACUCAUUCGGCGCCUUACGGGAAA
rnacentral:rRNA from 1 species